AUGUGGCCAAGGUUACUUAUUGUGAUGUUCUGGGCUAAGGGCGAGGAGGACACUUGGCGGUGUAGUGAUGAUGAGAUGGUGCCUGAACAAAAUGCCACGGCCACUCCGCAUGUACAGUCCAACGCACCCGGCACGCGUAUUCUUAGCUCUCCCCGCCACCUCCGUCGUCCCUCGUCCUCCCCACCAACUCCCCACCACCUCCCACCUCCGCGUUUCUUUAGCCGCCGCAGCCACCGCACGCGCACGCGCCGCACGCCUCUCAUUAAUCCUCCGCCAUCCGCACGCGCCACGCUCGCCAUGUUCAGCGACGGCGCGUCCGGGCUGCUCCUCCUUGUCCUGGCGGCCUUCGUCGCGGCGGCCGCCGCCGCGUCCGAGGGCGACGUGCUGCUGACCUUCCGGGCGACCCUGCGCGGGCCCGUGGGCGACCGCCCUCCGGCGCCGCUCGACCAGUGGGUUUCCUCCACCGGCACCGGCCCGUGCCAGGCGCCGGUGUGGUACGGGGUGCGGUGCCACCCGGUCACAAACCAGGUGCUCGGGCUCCGCCUCGAGUACCUCGGCCUGCAGGGCGCCGUCCCUGACAUGGCCCCGCUCGCGGCCCUCCCGGGCCUCCGCGUGCUCAGCUUCGCCAACAACAACCUCACGGGCGCGUUCCCGGCUGGGCUCUCUGCGCUCCCUGCCCUCAAGACGCUCUACCUCUCCCGGAACCGCCUCGCCGGCGACAUACCGAACGGCGCCUUCGCGGCCAUGCGGGGACUCAAGAAGCUCUUCCUCGGAGACAACGCCUUCACGGGGCCCAUCCCGGGCUCCAUCACCUCGCCCAAGCUGCUCGUGGUGCAGCUCGCCAGGAAUCGCUUCCAGGGGGCAAUCCCGAACUUCGACCAGAAGGAGCUCCUGCUCUUCGACGUCUCCGACAACCAACUCUCCGGCCCCAUCCCCGAAGUGCUCAGCCGGUUCGACGCCGCCUCGUUCCAAGCCUUCCUCGUCUCCUUCCCAAGACCACCGCAAGGACCGCCAGCCGAACCCACUGCCACGCACCGCAGUCCGCGUCCCAUUGCGCCCCACGCCAGCCUCGCCGCCCCGCCCUCACUCACCGCCCCCACCGCCAUGCUGGUUGAGGUCCCCGGCCAUCUCUCUAAACUGGCGAACAACAAGAUUUGUCCGGCAAGCCCUGCACACCCCCCCUCCCACCCUGGACAUUAA
rnacentral:rRNA from 1 species